UUACCAUCCUAAAAGGAUCAGCUGAAGGCCAUCAAUUGCAUCGAACAUCCUAAGAAGAAAGAAUCACACCUGGCCAGCAUCCUAAUAGUGAGCAACCUUUCUGCUUUCCUCAAGAGUCAACAGAAAAAGAUGAAGACUCUGACACUGCUGGCAUGCAUUUGUGCACUGACUGCUUGCUUCUCAGCCAGUCAGAGUCAAGAAAAGAAUAAUGGAUUCAAUCAAAGACGACAGUUGCAUUCAUCUGGUCGAGAUCUAGCUCGAUCACAAUCUGCUAAAGCCAAGCCUCUUCCAAAUUCAAAUCCACCAAGAUCCAUCUUGCCUCAGUAUCACCAAAACUUAGCUAGCCAGUCACUAAGCAGAUCAACCAAUUCAAAGUUACUUCCUCCUAAAAAGCAACUUCCUUUAAAGUCAUCUAUCCCAAAAAAACUAGCAAAACUACAAACUCAUUCAAAUAAAGCUAGCCAACCAAAACUAGGUCCAACUGAGAACAGUUCAAAAACUCAAAGUAGGUCUAGGCAGUCACAAGUUUACCAAAAUAACUCUAUUCAAAAAAGGCCUCAUUUCAAGUCAACUAUUCACAAUAGACCCCAUUCAUUACAUCCUGGUCAAUUACGGUACUCUAAGAAACAGCCUCAAAAAUCCCAAUCUCCUCCAAAUCCAUCUGUUAAAAAAGUGAUAAAGCCAUUCAAAUCUCUUUCAAAUACAGCCCUUCAGCAAAAACCUCAACUAACGAAGCAUAAUCCUAAUUCACACACUCUACAAAAAGCUAGCCUAAACAAGCCACAACCUAAUAAAUUUGUUAAAAGAAGAACCAGACAAAGAAAGCCUAAUUCAAAAGCACUUGUCCAAAAUAUACCAAGCCACACCAAAACUCAUCUAGAAGCACCUGGUGGAAGAAAACGUAUACAGCCGCUCAAUCCAAGAAAAUGUCUACAACCAUCUAGUCAAGGAAGACGUCCACAGUCAUCUAAUCGAAGACAACACCCACAUCCGCUUGGUCAAAAAAUACCAAAUCCACUAAUUAAAGUACCCAGACAAAUUAAGGCCACACAUUGUAUUAGGCCACACAUUCAAAACAAACCUGAAUCACACCACUAUCAUCCACAUGUACAUCUUUCUCCAGACAACCCAUAUCCAUCUCCCUUCAUUCCCAGCCUGAAACCUCAGGUGCAACCAACUAGCAAAGUGGUAAGCACCAGAACCCAAGUCUUAAACACAACUCCGUUUGCUGCCAUUGCCACCACAACUCCCCACUACACUAUCAGCUCCAACACAACCUCAGCUACAACCACAAACAAAAUAUCAUCUGAUCUCAUCUUCAAAAGUACAACUCCUUCUGAUAUCACAGUUUCCAGUCCUAAAACCCAAGUUCCAGUUACCAUUCCACUCACUGCUGCAACCACGUCUAAUGCUCCAACUACCGAGAUUUCACCUCCCCUUGUUACUGCCACUACUCUUCCUGCCACCAUGCAAACAACUCCUUUUACCAUACAUACCAUACUCAAGAUGACCACUGAGUCAGGAUAUGAAACAACAGAACUUCCCUACAGCAGCACUAACCCUGAUAAUAACUACAUAUAUGAAACUACAGAAUCUUAUUACUAUGAUGAAUUUGAUGUCUCUAAUUCUGAAAUUACAGCAUCCACCUAUACCACUCCAAAACCUGCCUCUACCACCAACUAA
rnacentral:lncRNA from 12 species